CCCUUAGAUGUCCUGGGCCGCACGCGUGCUACACUGACGCCUACAGCGAGUACUUCCCAGCCCCGAGAGGCGGCUGGUAAUCAGCAAUAGGCGUCGUGAUGGGGAUAGAUCUUUGGAAUUAUGGAUCUUGAACGAGGAAUGCCUAGUAAGCGCAGGUCAUUAGCCUGCGCUGAUUACGUCCCUGCCCUUUGUACACACCGCCCGUCGCUACUACCGAUUUCGAGUGGUCCGGUGAAGCUUUUGGACUGCGCGUGGUUUCGUGCCGUGUCGCGGAAAGUCAGCUAAACCUUAUCACUUAGAGGAAGUAAAAGUCGUAACA
rnacentral:rRNA from 1 species